AUGAAUAUAAACAAGAUGGUGGUGGCCUGGGGAGUAAUGUUGGUGAUGAUCCUAUGGGUAAUCUGCCAUAUGGAAUUCGGAGGAACAACAAAGGAAAAACGGAGUGUAAAAGAAGGGGGGGGAACAGGGGUGAGUAUUACCUUAGAAAGGGAAGAGGGAAAGGAUGGGAUGUGGCAGUUUGAUCUUUGUCAAGUGAUAGAUUGUGGGAAGGACCAAGUGGCAUGGAGAAAAUAUGAUGUUUAUGGGUGUUUGUGGCCAUCUACCACCACGCUUCCGAAUGGUCCCCAUUGUCAUACCUGGCAUGAUGUAAAUUGGAAAACAGCCCCAGGAUUCACUAGAAAGAUAUUGAAAAAUAGUCGUAUGGCCAGACCAGACCACAUCCAAAAUCGACUUAGGUUGUCUAGGGGAUACCAACAUAGUUGGGGAGGCUGGAAAAACACGUUGAUUAUAUCACUAAAAAAUGGUAAUGAUGAAACUGACACGUACAUCACUCUAGGGGUAGAUGUAGAAGGAAAAGACCCACUGGGGUUGAUAAAAAUCUCCAUAAAAAAGCCUAAACCCACAGGGGCGCCAAUAAUCACAGACCUAACCAAAAACAAAAAGAAAGUAAUACAGAGCACUGACUUUAGCAAUCUGACCCCACUAGAUCUGAUGACGCUGGAGACAGGCUAUCACGAAACAAAUUUAUGGUUAGAAUGGGUGACAAACGCAGCCGAAGAAUUAGGAUUUGAGGGGUGCCUAGCUUGUGCAGCAGGAAGGCCACAAUUAAAUACUGAACCCGCUCCAUUACAUGAUUAUGAUAGUUGGGGGUACAAAUGUAUGUUAAAACUAACAAAGGAAAAAAGUCCCAAAAACUGCACUGCACUCAGUAAUCUAUACCCACCAGCUGGAAAUAAGUCAUCAAUGGGAGUUGCAUUAAAAAGAAGAAAGGGUAAUUAUACCUGUUUCAAUUUAACUACCUCCAGUGCGUCCAAAAUAUUAGUGGGAGCGUUUAAAAGGGAAUGGUGUGGACAGAUGAUUCAGGAAGGCCAUGACAAACUAGGGGGAUGGGGCAGAGUGGGUUUGUAUUACGCGAGUGGAGAAAAGGUGGUAUUGGCUAGAAUAGAACCCACCAUGGAAGGAGUAUGUGCUAUGAUAAGAGUCGCUGUUCCUAUGGUCGUGAUAGGAAAUAGGGCUAUAAAUGGGCAUAAAAACAGGCGAAAAAGGUCAGUAAAUAGUGAUUUCGAUUUAACACGCAAUAGCCCCACCUACAUAGACGCAAUAGGCAUCCCCAGGGGAGUUCCAGAUGAAUAUAAAUUGGCUGACCAAGUAGCAGCAGGGUUUGAAAAUAUACCUGUGAUAGCAGCAUUAUUCCCCGUGACCCCAAAUAAAAAUGUAGACAGAAUAAAUUACAUACAUUACAACGUACAAAGGCUGUCAAAUCUCACUAGAGAUGCUGUGUCUGGAUUAAAAGAACAAUUGGCUGCUACCUCUCUGAUGACUAUUCAAAAUCGGCUAGCUUUAGACAUGUUACUAUCAGAAAGGGGCGGGGUUUGUUCUAUGUUUAAAGACACGUGUUGCACCGUCAUACCAAACAACACUGCCCCUGAUGGUUCCGUAUCCAGGGCUCUGGAGGGACUAAAAGAAUUGUCAAAUGAACUGAAAGCUAGCUCAGGGAUAGAAAAUGCUGUGUCUAAAUGGAUGUCUGAUAUGUUUGGGGAAUGGAAAGGGGUGAUUAUUGCUAUGUUAACAUCAAUGGGUAUUUUCCUAGGAAUUUUGGUGACAUGUGGGUGUUGCUGUAUUCCCUGUAUCAGAAGUUUGAUAAAUAGGCUGAUAAUAACUGCAAUUGAAAAGAAGGAAAACCCACCUCCUUAUCAGAUGCCCCUCCUUGCUGCAGCGGAGGGGGAUGACGUGAUGGAGGAAGUGGAGGAACUAUUGGAUAUAGUGUGAUCUCUUUCGAGAUCAAGAGAGGGAAUUGAGGGAAUUAUAUUUUUGAGGGAAUCAUAUUUUUUAAUGUUUUAUGCAUGUUCAGAAUUGAUAUUAAGUUUUUCAUAAUUUUGAUGUUUUAUGUUUGAUAUUGAUAUUAAGUUUUGCUAUUUUCUUUACUGAUGAAAUGCUUUGUUUGAAAUAUGAGCCUAUUGCUUUGUUUGAAAUGUGAGCCUAUCGCUUAAGCUUCGCUUCUAGAGAAACGGGGUUUUUCCACAGAAGUAAGACGAGAGAUCUGAGCUCAUGGACAGCUGUGCUUUGGUACAGGAUGUGGUUUAACACCUGCAAGGAAUCAGCCGUAUCUCAGUCUGUGUAGGGGUGCAUGUGUGUUUUGUGUGUGUGUGUGUUUGCAGGCUACUGGCAGAUUCUAACUGGUUGAAAUGAGAUCUGAUGAUGGGAAGGCGAAUAAUGGAUUGGAGGCUCAUCGAGAGUGGGGAGGAGACAACCAAGAAUAAAAGCUAUUGUUUUAUGUUUGUACGGCAAUACUGGAGCGCCCAGUUUGCCUUUUCAUGGUGUCUCUUCAGUAUUCCUGGGCUCAGCAUUGUUGAUCUGAUCCUUCGUUUAUUAAACUUUGAUUUCUCGAUAAA
rnacentral:lncRNA from 1 species